rnacentral:rRNA from 1 species
UUUUUUAAUUGGAGACUGGGAUGAAUGGUAGAAACUAAUAGGAAUGUUUUAUUUUAUAAAUUUGAAUUUAAAUUAGGAAUAAAAAUAUUUUUAUAAAUUCUUGGGACGAGAAGACCCUAGAAGCUUAAAAUUAAAAUAUUUUUAGUUGGGGCAAUUUUUGAAGAAAAAAAUUUUUAUUAGUAUAAAAUUUUGAUAAUAAAGUUACUCUAGGGAUAACAGCGUUAUUUAAUUGAUAAGUUCUUAUUAAUAAUUAAGUUUGCGACCUCGAUGUUGAAUUAAUU